ACGAAGUCUGGGUUGCUUGACACCCAGGCCCUCAAUGCGAGCUCCAAGUGGGCCAUUUUUGGUAAGCAGAACUGGCGAUGCGGGAUGAACCGAGAGCCGAGCGGCGCCCAACUGCGCGCUAACCUAGAUCCCACAAAGGGUGUUGAUUACAGACAGCAGGACGGUGGUCAUGGAAGUCGAAAUCCGCUAAGGAGUGUGCAACUCACCUGCCGAAUCAAUCCCCGAAAAUGGAUGGCGCUGAAGCGCGCGGCCUAUGCUCGGCCAUGGGGGCAAGUGCGAGGCCCCCAUGAGGAGGGCGUGGGUGUCGUGGCGCAGCCCGCGGCGGCCGGGGUGAAACGGCACCUAGUGCAGAUCUUA
rnacentral:rRNA from 1 species